GUACCCUGGGCCGUGAAAAUGUGUCAUGGGAUUUUUAAUCUCCUUUGAGUCCAGGGAAGGUUUCUUUGCAGAAAUGAUGCCCCGGCUGAGAUCCAAAGGAGAUGAGGGAGCAUCACCGAGAUAUAAACACAAUCUGAGAUGAGGAGAAUCACUCCCCACCGCUGAGGUGGAAGUGACUAGACGUGGUUCGGUAAGUUUCCGUGGAGAGAGAGCUUGCAGCGUGAAGGCAAACGAGGACAGAAGAGCUUGAACUGAGAGCAUAAUCUGGAAGCAGACUGAGCGGGUGGCCUGACCUCGCUGCACCAGGCUUCCACCCCCAGGCUCACCCGCCAUGCGUGUGCCCCUCGCACCGGCAUGGUCCCUCAAGAAGAGCAGACGGCGGUCCCUGGAGCCACCUGGAGUGUCAGUGUCUCAUGUAUUCCUCACAACACCUUCAUGGGCGUCUCUGGGGCAACCCGCUUCUUCCAGUCUAGUAACACCCAGUCCGUGUCUGCAGGAAGUCCAGCUGGCGGAGACGCUCCUGCCCUCAGAGGAGAGGAACCCUGUGAUUAUAUUGGAGCCACCUCAAAUCCAGGAUAAUCUUCCCAUCUCAAGAUGCUUCCCAUCGGCAAAGGUUUUGUGCCAUAUAAAGUAACAUUAUAGGUUCUGGAUAUUAGGAUAUAGAUGUAUUCAGGGGCCCAUGAUUCAUUACCACACUGACAGGAACAAGAAAAGGAUAAAAAUAUAUAGGAUCUCCCUGAAGUAUUUGGAACUUUUUUCCACAGGGCAUCUCAGAAUACCUCCUCCUUCCUCUUGAAGAUACCACUUGAGGAAACUGGGCCUUGCCCUGUUAUGAGGCAUUUCUGUUGCUAAUCUGCAGUUACUGGGUAAACGGAUAUCCCACUGCCUACCGUAGGAUUCCAAAUUCCUGCAUAUUCAGUUCAGCCACUUUCUUUGCUUGGAGGCCUCCUACUUUCCUAAUCUGUAAAAUAGAGACAACAUCUGUCUGUCAGGGCUGAACUGAUGCUCAAACUAUGAGAUGAUUGUGAACACGUCUAUGCAGUCAUUAGCCUUAACUUCUCAAUAAACAGUACCUGCUUUCAUUGCCUGGCAGCCUGUGCCAGAAGAGGGAGAAACUACAUCCAUCCUAUGCAGGAUUGGCUGUCAUGGCAGACGAUGCUCUUUGCUGAUGGAGACGUCACCCUGAUACCCAGAUCCCCACUUUCCCCCCUCUACCUUGCCCUCUUCAGUGUUAGGCAUGCAGCAUGCCCUGUCCUGUCUAUACGUGCCCUGUUGUCCUCUAAUAUGUGGGAGUCCCUGGGGGAGGUGGGCAGAACUGAUCACCACUCAGUAGUUGGAUGGCUUUGGGACUGUUCCUGGUUUUUUCAAGUCUUGCAUUUCCCCACAUGCAAACAUGAGGUAGAUUAGGGGCCUGUGGCCUCUCCCUACCAAAUCUGAAACCCUUGAGUCAGUCUGUGACUCACCCUUCCUCACCAUUUUACUCAGCAAAGGCUUAGGACCCCAGGAGUACUAAAGAAACAUUUGAUGAGUAAAACAUUAGCACCCCUUUUUGUGCAAUCUUUUCUUAUUUUGCAUUCUAAUGGGCUGUUUAAACUAAAAUACCUUUCGAAAACCAAAAGAAGAAAAUGGCAAAUUACUCAGACUCCAGAAGGGACCACUGAGACAUAUUUAGAUUAUUGGGCCUUUCCAGGGACUCGAAUCCCCUACACAAAGCCGAUGCUGCAGAAAUAAAAAUGCCACCAGUGAGUCCUGUGUCACAGAAUCGCAGGUUGCAAACCCACUGGGAAGCUUUGGUCCCCCAAACCUACAAAACCCUUUAGCAGCCCCUGAUCUUUCCAAGGAUUGAAGAAAGAUCUAUUUUGUGAGAGGAGGAUGACCAAAAAAAGGGUUCAGUCCUAAAAGAUUCAUUCCCACUACUGUGUCUUCUCUUGAAUCUGGGGUGAUUCCUGCCAUUAAUAUUUUAAGCAACUAAUUUGACAUUUUUCCAUUUAAUUAACUUGCAUACACAUAUGACAACAGGGUUUUGAGAGUACCAUGCAUGACAUUUAAACAAAGUCAUUUAAGCUUUUCCAUUUCUGCUUUUUUUUCUUGGCCUUUUUUCUUGUUGUUCCAUUUCUGUUUUGCAUUCCUGACACUGAAGCUGGCUUAUUAGCUCAGAGAAAUGACCAAAUUUCCCAAAGCAAAUGUGCCACAGCCUCAACCUAGGUGACGUGGGUGGGCCCGGAGCUCUGGGCUACAGCUCUUUUAAAGUUGAUCCUGCUCUUUUUUCCAUUUUUAACAAAUGGCGCUCCGAUCACAGCAGGCCCGCGUCACAGGCUGAAGCUUCCUGUUGCCAUGCCAACCCCCCCCCCCCGUG